AUUGACGCUGGCGGCAGGCCUAACACAUGCAAGUCGAGCGGAUGAAGGGAGCUUGCUCCUGGAUUCAGCGGCGGACGGGUGAGUAAUGCCUAGGAAUCUGCCUGGUAGUGGGGGAUAACGUCCGGAAACGGGCGCUAAUACCGCAUACGUCCUGAGAGAGAAAGUGGGGGAUCUUCGGACCUCACGCUAUCAGAUGAGCCUAGGUCGGAUUAGCUAGUUGGUGGGGUAAAGGCCUACCAAGGCGACGAUCCGUAACUGGUCUGAGAGGAUGAUCAGUCACACUGGAACUGAGACACGGUCCAGACUCCUACGGGAGGCAGCAGUGGGGAAUAUUGGACAAUGGGCGAAAGCCUGAUCCAGCCAUGCCGCGUGUGUGAAGAAGGUCUUCGGAUUGUAAAGCACUUUAAGUUGGGAGGAAGGGCAGUAAGUUAAUACCUUGCUGUUUUGACGUUACCAACAGAAUAAGCACCGGCUAACUUCGUG
rnacentral:rRNA from 1 species